rnacentral:rRNA from 1 species
GACGAACGCUGGCGGCGUGCUUAACACAUGCAAGUCGAACGGAAAGGCCCUGCUUUUGUGGGGUGCUCGAGUGGCGAACGGGUGAGUAACACGCGAGUAACCUGCCCUUGACUUUGGGAUAACUUCAGGAAACUGGGGCUAAUACCGGAUAGGAGCUCCUGCUGCAUGGGGGGGGUUGGAAAGUUUCGGCGGUUGGGGAUGGACUCGCGGCUUAUCAGCUUGUUGGGGGGGUAGUUGCUUACCAAGGCUUUGACGGGUAGCCGGCCUGAGAGGGUUACCGGCCACAUUGGGACUGAGAUACGGCCCAGACUCCUACGGGAGGCAGCAGUGGGGAAUAUUGCACAAUGGGCGGAAGCCUGAUGCAGCAACGCCGCGUGCGGGAUGACGGCCUUCGGGUUGUAAACCGCUUUCGCAUGUGACGAAGCGUGAGUGACGGUAAUGGGUAAAGAAGCACCGGCUAACUACGUG